CAACUUUUUCAUGAAACCCCAUAAAAUUAUUUUCAGCUUACCCUCUUUUAUUUUUAAAACAUUUUAAUUUGGUUACAAACUUUUUUUUCUCUUUCUCUAUGCUCUUUUCCUUUCAUGGUGCUCUCAGUCCUCAAGAAAAAGGAAGAAAAAGUAGUUGUGGCUCGUGUCCUAGGAGGAGGAAGACGUUCGUUCUUUCGAUUUUAUCCACAAACUGCAUAGAUUUCAUAAUUAUUAAAGGGAGUAUUGCUCUAGAAUUUUGUGCUCUAGAGAGAGAUAAACGAAGCACUUGUAGCUCGUGCCCUAAGGAGAGAAAGACGUUCGCUCUUUCGAUUUCAUCAUUCUCCCUGCAAUCUAAGGUCUUGAAACUUGUUAUUUCGGAAUGUAAACCUAAGGCUAAGAUUGUGGACAUUUGUGGGAAAGGGGAUUCUUAUAUUAGAGAACAAACUAGAAAUGUAUACAAGAACGUGAAGAGGAAGAUUGAGAGAGGAUUUGAUUUUCCCACAUGUAUAUCAAUAAACAAAGUAGUCCAUUUCUCUCCACUAGCUAGUGAUGAGGCAGUGUUGGAAGAAGGUGCUUGGAAGGUCCUAUCACAGGAAGGGCAACAAAUGUCAUUGUUGCUACAAAUACUGCUGCAGAAGUGGCCUUGAGGCUUGUCAGGCCAGGAAAGAAGGAUAAAGAUUGGUAGGCCAACAAUGGAGCUGGAAAAAAUAGCAACAAGUACUGGCUACAAUCCUUGGGAGAGCUAGUGAUUGGGAUGUUCUGAUUGCUGGUGUUAUGGUGGUUGCAAUUGAGGGAAUUGACAUGCUAAUAUAUAGAAUGCAUGCCACUGCAAGGCCCUGGAGAUUGCAGUCUUUUCUACUGAUGGUGAACUUCUAGAAAGCUGGCAUAUGCAUGGGUCUCUUUGUUGACGCUUUUAAGUUAGGCAGCUAAAAUCCCACAGGACUUUUCUUUUCAAUUUAUUGUUGUAUAUCACAAACUCUGAAGUGGAGCAAACGUAACACAAGGAUAUAGUUUUGGUGCAGUUGAAAGUGUGAAGGCAACUAGUGACGUUAACUCUCCUAUUUCUGGUAAAGUGAUUGAAGUGAAUGAAGAUCUUAGUAGCUCUCCAGCUUUGGUUCAAUUGGUCAAUAAUAUAUACUAAUAAUCAAAACUCAGGAACAAGAAGACCACUUGUGAAGAUGACUACUUAGGAAGAUUAGAGAUAAUUAAUUUGCUUUAAGGC